UACAGAGGUCCCAAGCGUUGUUCGGAUUCACUGGGCGUAAAGGGUGCGUAGGCGGUCGGGUAAGUCUGAUGUGAAAUCUCACAGCUUAACUGUGAAACUGCAUUGGAUACUAUCCGGCUCGAGGAAUGGAGGGGAGACUGGAAUACUUGGUGUAGCAGUGAAAUGCGUAGAUAUCAGGAGGAACACCAAUAGCGAAGGCAGCUCGCUGGGACGUUACUGACACUGAGGCGCGAAAGCGUGGGGAGCGAACAGG
rnacentral:rRNA from 1 species